rnacentral:rRNA from 1 species
UACGUAGGGACCAAGCGUUGUCCGGAAUCAUUGGGCGUAAAGCGCGCGUAGGUGGCUUCGUAAGUCCGUUGUGAAAGUCAAAGGCUCAACCUUUGAAAGCCGAUGGAUACUGCGGAGCUAGAGUACGGAAGAGGCGAGUGGAAUUCCUGGUGUAGCGGUGGAAUGCGCAGAUAUCAGGAGGAACACCAAUAGCGAAGGCAGCUCGCUGGGACGUUACUGACACUGAGGCGCGAAAGCGUGGGGAGCGAACAGG